ACACACUCCUACAACUCAAAAGGAAAGGAGUUGAUAGAAAAGAUCACAGGACUGACCCCAAAGAAGGUGAGCUGCAAAAGGCAGAAGCAGGCAACUCAUCUGGUGGAGCUGAGAGACCACGGUGAAUAUGGUGCAAAAAUCACUAUGUGGGAAUUAGCAAAUGUAAUU